CCGCCCGAGGUCUCUGGGAAAGGUGUGAGCCCGACCCUCCUCCCUACCCACCCGGUUAACCCUAUCAGCGACGACGGCCUGCCGAGGACCAAAGGAGAAGAAAGGAGCCUUCCGCGUGUUUUAAUUGGGUUACUAUCCACAACCAAACGCCACAGAAGCUCAGACAAGAAACUAACCUGGGGAGAGCAGCUUCCUGGAACCCAGAGGCAGGCAUUUGGGAGAGUCCCAGCCCUAGUAAUUGUCAACAGGAGAAGCAGAAGAUGGUACAGCUGAUGGCAUCAAUCUCAGAGGAGUAGCUACAUUUAGACUGGUGGCCACGGAUGGCAGGUCUGACUGUCCUGGAGGUGAUGCUGAGGUGCCAAUUUGUGUUGGAGGCUCAAUGAGAUUGCAGAUUUAGCAGAUUAGUUUUUUCUCGGUGUUCAAAUGGUAAGGAAAUUGAGGCUCAAAGAUGUUAAUAUGUUCAAGGACUGCUGUCAAUUAAGUGGAAAAGCAAGUACUACAAACCAGAUAUGGGGAAUUCCCUGGCGGUUCAGUGAUUAGGACUCAGUGCUUUAA